GUGUAAUGAUCCGGACGCUGUCUCAACCAUGAGCUCAGUGAAAUUGUAGUAUCGGUGAAGAUGCCGAUUACCCGCGAUGGGACGAAAAGACCCCGUGAACCUUUACUACAGCUUAGCAUUGACCUUGGUCAUCCGAUGUGUAGGAUAGGCCGGAGGCUUCGAAGCGGGAGCGCCAGCUUUCGUGGAGCCAUCCUUGAAAUACGGCCCUUUGGCUGUCUGAGGUCUAACUCGCUAGUGCGAGGACACUGCUUGGUGGGUAGUUUGACUGGGGUGGUCGCCUCCAAAAGCGUAACGGAGGCUUCCAAAGGUGCCCUCGGGUCGAUUGGUAACCGACCUCAAAGAGUGCAAUGGCAUAAGGGCGCUUGACUGGGAGGCAGACAUGCCGAGCAGGCAGGAAACUGGGGCAUAGUGAUCCGGCGGAUGUGUAUGGAAACUCCGUCGCUCAAAGGAUAAAAGGUACUC
rnacentral:rRNA from 1 species